rnacentral:rRNA from 1 species
UACAGAGGUCUCAAGCGUUGUUCGGAUUCAUUGGGCGUAAAGGGUGCGUAGGCGGCGUCGUAAGUCGGGUGUGAAAUUUCGGAGCUUAACUCCGAAACUGCAUUCGAUACUGCGGUGCUUGAGGACUGGAGAGGAGACUGGAAUUUACGGUGUAGCAGUGAAAUGCGUAGAGAUCGUAAGGAAGACCAGUGGCGAAGGCGGGUCUCUGGACAGUUCCUGACACUGAGGCACGAAGGCCAGGGGAGCAAACGGG